AUUAAUUCGAUGCAACGCGAAGAACCUUACCAAGGCUUGACAUGAACCGGUAAUACCUGGAGACAGGUGCCCCGCUUGCGGUCGGUUUACAGGUGGUGCAUGGUUGUCGUCAGCUCGUGUCGUGAGAUGUUGGGUUAAGUCCCGCAACGAGCGCAACCCUCGUUCUAUGUUGCCAGCACGUGAUGGUGGGGACUCAUAGGAGACUGCCGGGGUCAACUCGGAGGAAGGUGGGGACGACGUCAAAUCAUCAUGCCCCUUAUGUCUUGGGCUUCACGCAUGCUACAAUGGCCGGUACAAAGGGUUGCGAUACUGUGAGGUGGAGCUAAUCCCAAAAAGCCGGUCUCAGUUCGGAUUGGGGUCUGCAACUCGACCCCAUGAAGUCGGAGUCGCUAGUAAUCGCAGAUCAGCAACGCUG
rnacentral:rRNA from 1 species